UUGUUCAGAAAAUUACAAUUCAAUUUGCUAAAAUUUCUUAUCACGUUAUCAGCACGAAGAUUCUCCAUUGGGAUUCGGAUUCAUCAAACAUCGUUUUUGGAUUCCGAACAUCUUCGUUCCUCAUAAUCCGGUUUGACGCUUGACAAGCUCGUUGGGAGCUUGUGGAUGAAGCGGGUCAAACGGAUCAAGAACGGAAGGAAAAGCAUGGCAUGGAUGCGAGAAAGUAAAUAGCAAAUGGAUGUUUACAUCGCUAUCACUUAGUAACCAUUAAAGCGAGGUAUUGAGACGAGUCAAUAUAUUGACCCGAGCCAGGUAUGUAUAAUGAUACAACUCAUCAUGUAGAAAUUGGAAUUCUAUAACAGUUAUACUAGGUCAAAAUAAGAUGUUCGGUCAUCUUUUAAGUAAGGCAAAUAAAUUAAGUUAUGUUUAAGGUGUUUUAGAAACAUCUUGAUUUCUAAACAAAAUAUAGUUAAAAGGUCGGAAUUUGGGAUCAAACAUGUACUAAUAGUCCUUCGUCGUAAAAGAAGGACUAAAAUUGACUAAAACGCCCUUGUAAGCGAAAUUGAGCAAACAAUCCAUAAAGGUUGUUUGGAAAUAAGCGAUAAGAUGAAAUAAAUUCUUUGAAUAAGUACGAAAAGCAAAAGACGUAAAAUAUUGGUCAAAUGUCUCUGUAAAGAGUCUUUACCGUAAAAUAGUGAUUCGAAGUGUAAAAUUUGGAAUGAAUAAAUCACCACAUUGAAUCCACCACAAUUAUAGUUGUGGUGGAAGGUCAUUUGAUAAGAAAUAUGGACAUAUGUAUUUAGAAACGAGUGAAAGAGAUUGGUGCUUAAAAUAUGCUUAAAUACCCUUAACGGGUCAAAAUGAGCAUUUGGGUAAGAAUGGGUUUAAGAAGGUAUAUAAACCUAUAAUUUGAAACCUAUUAUGUUAAACAUUAUUGAACUUGAUAGGUUUAUGAGAAAUAAGGCUCAAACAAACUUGUUUGUUGAGAAAAAUCGAACGGGUCAAAAUUUGGUAAAAAGGUAAUAAGCCGAAGACUUAAAAGUCUGAAAUUUUAUUAUACCGGAUGUUGGAUUUUAACUCCAUAAGGUGGAGAGUUAAAUUACAAUCACGCAGGAAGAAACGGUAGGUCAAACUGUCAAGCGGUUUGAAAGACACGAAAGAUUUCGUGUCAAAAACGACAAAUUGGAAAGGUUGGAUGCAGGGGCCACCGUAACUUACAGUGCCACCGUAAGUUACGGUGGAGUUGAUAUAGUUACGGUAGAAUACCCCUGAGUUACGGUGGAAUAUUUGACAUUCAGGGGCUACCGUAAAUUACGGUACCCACCGUAAUUUACGGUGGACCCUGUAAUAAAAAUAUAUUUUUAAUUAGUUUCGCUUCGUGGACUCGUUUGGACACGUUUAAAACCAGUACGACUAAAGCAUUUCAUGUUUAUGAAAUGUAGGUACCUUUGGGACGCAGGAAGACGAUCAAGCUCAGCGAAGAACCGAACACGAUAUAGAUACACGCUUCCGCACAUUGCCACGUUGUAAAUUUUAAACAACGAACUCAAUUACGUUAUGUUGGAUAACUUAUGAUUUGUAAAAGUUUUAAUAAACCCGCAUUUUGUACAGUAUGUGUGGUCUUAACUACACAUCUAAUUGUGGUAUUUUCACGUAAAAUUGUAAUUUAGUAACUAGGGUGUUACAUCACCCCGGUAGCAUAAUGAUGAGACGAAUAAUCAA
rnacentral:lncRNA from 1 species